CGUGCAGGCGGGUUGGUAAGUCAGAUGUGAAAGCCCUGGGCUCAACCCAGGAAGUGCAUUUGAAACUGCCAUCCUUGAGUAUGGGAGAGGAGAGUGGAAUUCCCAAUGUAGAGGUGAAAUUCGUAGAUAUUGGGAGGAACACCCGUGGCGAAGGCGACUCUCUGGACCAAUACUGACGCUGAGACGCGAGAGCGUGGGGAGCAAACA
rnacentral:rRNA from 1 species